GAGACAUUCAAAGAAGUUUGGUACACAUCCAGAAUCAAGAUAAUCUUCUGAGUCCCAAACGGAAAAAGUAAUCAACUGCCAAGGAGAACAUCUGUGCUCCCUCACAGUAUAAUCCCCAGCACACUGAAAAUGUGCACAACAACAAACCUUCAUCUCUUACAUGUGCUAAUCCAGGAUAUACAUGCAACAUCUUUUGCUACUUCAAAUAAAACUAUCAGAGCAUAUGUUCAGAUUGACAAUGCUUCCUUGAAGAGCCAAGUACUAUCUAGUAAAAAUCACAAUCUCAAAAAUCAGAAGCCUGAGAUUGGAAAUGGAGAUGUCCAGUGGAUGGGAAUGAGAAGCUGACUGAUUCUGGAAAGAAGUUGGACUUAUUCCACCAUGAGCCGGAAAGCUUUUAUUACUUUGUGAUUUUCUCUAAAGCAAGAAUGCACCUCAAGAUCUAAAGCA